GGCACAUACACUUUUAGGCGUGCUUUGUACCAGGCGCUCGGCGUGCAUUAUUUCCGAGAACUCUCAUUAAAACCUGGCAAGGGUUUGCGAUGUGUCCGCACCACCUCGUACCCACACAGCAAGUAAUCCUACAAGAAGGCAGCAUUACACCCAUUUUACAGAGGAGAAAACUGAGGCCACGAGAGGGGCUGGAACUUGCCCGAGGUCACGCUGAGCUAAUACAAGUCAUACCAGGGAGGCAACCCUUUGACUAAGGCUUUUCUACUCAGGAGCCAUCUGCCCUGCCAUUUAUUUGCUACUUUGUUUGAUGCCCGUCUCCUUUCCUACCUGAUGAAAUGGAACCGGAGAAACAACACGCUUAAAGUUGCUCUGGCGGGCCGUGGCUUACUAAUGAUACGAGAUAAGGAACUAUUCACAUGUUGAAGUUUAUCUGUGUACGAUCCAAAUCUGCACCUUGUAAGCCCUUCUGCAGAGUGGGCAUUCCGGGGACAUCUCGCCUCUGAGUCUGACUGGGGGAGCUCAUCCCCCCCCCCCCCCCCCCCCCCGGCGGCCGGAGGCCCAGGCUCCUCAGGGGCCACGAGCAAGAGCCUGGAUUUAUCGCCUCCUCUCUGGGGCGUCAGGCCCAGCAUACACUGUUCAGUCGGAUGCCUGGAAAGGCCCCCGUUGGGCUGGCUCCCACCUUUUCUCACCCGGGCAAUGUUGGAGGAAAGAGGUUUCGAAGCAAAGGAUGAGGCACCCCCCCUCCCCCCCGUCUCCCUCAGGGUACCUGCUGCUGGGAGCUAGGACAGCCUGUGCCACAACUGCCCAUCACCCCUGCCACCCCCAGCCCUGGCCACAAUCCCACUUCUGCCUCCGGUGAGGGAGGCCAGAUGCAGAGGAGGGGGAGGGGGCCCGGCCCAGGCCAAGAGGCUGUCCUGACAUGUUUCUGUUUACAGAAGGAGAAAAACCAGAGACACGAGGAAACCUUUCGGGCAGUGGCAGGGGAGAUGGGAGUCCGUAGAGGUUGUCCAGCCACCAGGGAUGGGACUGGAGUGAUUUGGGGAAAGGGGAGACCCGCGAGGAGGUCGCAGGAAGGGGAGGGGCGCCCGGGGCCAGCCGCAGCCAGAGACGGGAGAAGCCGGAGAAGAAGAGGGAGCCUGGCGUAUGAAGGACAGAGGGAGGAAGUGGGGGCAGAGAAGGAGCGGCCAGGGAGGGGAGGACAAAGAUCAGCGGGUCCAAAGGGAAGAUUCAAGGAAAAGGGAGGCCGUGCGAGCUGUAUGGAGGGUGUUCCAGAAGUCAAACCCAGGAUACCUCCUGCUCCCAAAAGAAUUAAAAGCGGGGAGAGGGGCUCCAGCAGGUCCCCCCCCCCCCGUGUUCCCAGCAGCAUGCCUCACAACAGCCAGAUGGUGGAGACAACCGGGUGUCCAUCGCGGGAUGAAUGGGACACAACAUGUGGUUUUGCCGAUA